GGGUCGAAAGAAUCGUGAAGCUCAUCAACAAAGUCACUGGGACUUUUCCUCAGAGUCUGGUCAGCAGGCAGCGUGUUGUCAUUGUAGGACGAAACAAAUUUAAAGUCACUGGUUCUGGAGCCUGUUGUCAAGUAGGCGUCAUAGUUGUAGGUGCUGCGUAAAGUUCCUGUGCCGUCAACAUCUGCGUAAUUAGGAGGCAGAUACGCGCCGGGGAUGGCGACUGCUCCAUCAAACAACAGUCUGGGCUUUCUCCUGCGAAAAAACCUCACACCCAGGACGAUGAUGAUGAAGGUCAGGAAGAAGGUGGACACGGACACCAGAGCAAUGAUCAGGUAAGAGGUCAGCUUGGAAUUCUUGUCGUCAUAAGAAAUGUCCUUCAGUUCCGGCACCUCGGCCAAGUUGUCCGAAAUAACUAAAUACAUGGAGCAGGUGGCAGAGAGAG